rnacentral:rRNA from 1 species
UACGCAGGGUGCGAGCGUUGCCCGGAUUUAUUGGGCGUAAAGGGCGCGUAGGCGGUCACGCACGUCCGUUGUGAAAUCGCUCGGCUCAACUGGGCGGGGUCAGCGGAUACGGCGUGGCUGGAGCAAGCUAGGGGGCAAUGGAAUUCCCGGUGUAGUGGUGGAAUGCGUAGAUAUCGGGAGGAACACCAGUGGCGAAGGCGGUUGCCUGGAGCUUUGCUGACGCUGAUGCGCGAAAGCGUGGGGAGCGAUCCGG